rnacentral:misc_RNA from 2 species
AAGUCGUAACAAGGUUUCCGUAGGUGAACCUGCGGAAGGAUCAUUAGUGAUUAAUUAUUGAGUGUAAAAAACUCAUAAUCUUCUAUACAAACCACUGUUUUAAAAUGUUUACUAGAAUGUCCAAGCAGUUAAGCUGUUGAAAUAUUAAAAGUUUAAUAAAACUUUCAGCAACGGAUCUCUUGGUUCAG